rnacentral:rRNA from 1 species
CAGUCGCCGCGGGAAUACGGAGGGUGCAAGCGUUAAUCGGAAUUACUGGGCGUAAAGCGCACGCAGGCGGUUUGUUAAGUCAGAUGUGAAAUCCCCGAGCUUAACUUGGGAACUGCAUUUGAAACUGGCAAGCUAGAGUCUUGUAGAGGGGGGUAGAAUUCCAGGUGUAGCGGUGAAAUGCGUAGAGAUCUGGAGGAAUACCGGUGGCGAAGGCGGCCCCCUGGACAAAGACUGACGCUCAGGUGCGAAAGCGUGGGGAGCAAACAGGAUUAGAUACCCCAGUAGUCCCUGUCUCUUAUAC